rnacentral:rRNA from 1 species
AGCUUGAGGUUAACUUAUAUCUUAGGUGGUACCUGCUCAAUGAAUUUUAAAUAGCCGCAGUACCCUGACUGUGCAAAGGUAGCAUAAUAACUUGUCUUUUAAUUGAGGUCUAGAAUGAAUGGAUUUAUGGGUGUUUACUGUCUCACUGAGGCUUUUUUAAACUUACUUAAUGGGUGAAAAUUCCCCUAAAAAAGAUAAUAGACGAGAAGACCCUAAGAAUUUUUAUCAAUGAUUAAGUAAUAAUUAAACUAAGUUUUCGUUGGGGCGACGAGGUAACAAUAAACUUACCUGAAUAAAUUGAUUUGUGUCGUUGCUAUACAUAAAAACUAAAUUACCUUAGGGAUAACAGCAUAAUUUUUAUAGAAGAUUGUGACCUCGAUGUUGGACUAGGGACCUUAUGGUUACCCACCUGAAAGGCUUGUUCUGUUCGAACACUAAACCCU